UGCAGUGCUGGGAUCACAGGUGUUUGCCUCCACACCUGGUGUCACCAUUCAUGGCACUAGGUACAUUCACACAGUCACACAACUGUCACUGUUUCUACAGCUUCAUUAUUCCAAACAGAAAUUCUGUGUUCAUUAAAGUCUCUGUCUCCCCUCUCUCCAGCUUCUGGUUGCCUCGAAUCUACUUUCCGUCUGUGAAUCUGACUGGAAUUAGAGGACGUCUGUUCUUUUCUGUCUGCCUUACUUCACUUGGCCUCAGAGGAAGGUUCAUCCAGCUUGCAGUACAUCUCAGGCCAAGUCUCACACGUCAUCGGCAGAGAAGACAAGGACAGGGAUCUAUCCCUCACCACGGGGACCAGUUUGUGCAGGGUCUCCCUCUUCCUGACUCUCCAGACACAGCAGUGACCAGCUCCAGGGGCCGUUUAGGGCCCAAGUCGCCGGACGUGCGCAUCUGACUGAAUCGGAUGGCACACACUCAUUCAGUCGUUCAAAAAACACGACUUCGCGGACAAGAACACUGAGCCCGCGCUGUGCCCGGACACUGGGUCUUGGUGCUGGGCUCAGCAGCGAGUGGAAUGAAGUCCCUGCCCCCGCGGACUCAGCUGUGUCCCCAAGACAAAGCCCACUGCUGAGCAAGUCAUGCGACCUCGGGUGGAAACCUCUCCUUCCACGCCUCGACUUCCUCACAAACUUCACACAAACGCGGUGCUGGGGAUGGAAUGCAGGGCCUUUGCACAUGCUAGGUCACUGUGCUACCACAAAGCCACACCCUACUCCUCCACUUUCUAGUGGUAAGAUGGAAAUACUAAAAGCUCCCACCUUGUAUGGAUGGUGAGGGGACGUCAGGUGAGGAACACAGCGUUUCAGACAGCACCUGGCCAGAGCUUGUGUUCAGUGCUACCGACUAUGAAGACCAAAGACUGAGGACCGCCCCUCCUCAGACGACCCCC